rnacentral:lncRNA from 1 species
ACCACACCGCUAGCGCCUCUGAACCUCGCCAGGCACGUCCGGUUCUGCGGCCCCCACUCCGCCCCCGCCUGCCGGGAGCCGCGCAGUGAGUUACUGACUCCGCCGGCGCGCACUUCAUUUAUUCAAUAGCUCUGGGCCUGAAAAACACCGGGGAAAUUGCAUCCCAUUUUCCCCAAGCCCAUUAGCAACCAGCGGUCUCAUUCUCGAUGAUUCCGCUGAGCCACCCCGGCUCUAGGGGAGGGGGUUUUAUUCUGCCUCUGCCGCCACCCCCACCCACCCUCAGAAGGGCACCAGCUUUUCCAAUCUGUGAACCCCAAAGAACUGCAGGGCAGGGACCCCUGGGGACCCCUCAACCCCCCUCACCCCCGCAGCCUUCAGUACCUCCCGCCGGCAUUCCUCUACCCCCUCUCCAUGUCCACCCAGCCUGGCCCCAAGGGCGGAUUUCUUCUGGCUCUGGGCUCUAUUCUCGGGAGGGGGGCACUGGGGUGGGGGCGCCCAGAUUUGGAGUGGCAGCACCCCCUCCGCCUCCACCUCGGGCUGUGGGACCGCAGGCAGGUGGCUUCUCUGGCCUGCGUUUACUUUUUUUUGGCUGAAAAGGGGAAAGGUGGAACCACUGGCUGGCUGCCAGGAAAGGGCAUUGGGGGAGAUAAGGGGUGUAAAGGCCUUGACGAACGGGGUCCUCUUGGCCAGGAAGCAUCUUGGGGCUGCACUGGGCACACGGCAUUUUCCCCAACCCAGAGGUGGGCGCCCAGUGCCAGUAACUGGUCCAGGCUUCUAAAGGUCCCAUUCCUUUGUCUCUGCAGCCUGGUGCGCCCUGCCAGGCAGUUGCGGGGAGGUGGUGGUCUCUCUGUGGGGUCAUAGUUCAGAGCACGCGUGCUCGGAGACAUAGUUAAAUAGAAGCUGAAUGCGUGAAAUAUGAAUACAUCCUCACGGUCCUCGUCUCGUUAUAGGUUACAAAGUGCCGGGAGCCGUGCAGGGCCAGUGAACCCCUCGCUGAGACUCAGUUUGCUGCCAUCACAAGUGCUCUGAGAAUCCUGGAGAGGGAGGAUAUUGGAGACAAACGGGACUGCUGCCCGCCUUUUAGGCGACCGUUGGAGGCUGCUCUGUGCCGGACACAGGCAGGGAAAAUGUCAGCCCCGCGAGGGAAAUGGC